AUAAAAGGGUAAAACCGUCAUUUCAAGUUGU
rnacentral:sRNA from 1 species